GACGAACGCUGGCGGCAUGCCUAACACAUACAAGUCUAGGGUGUAGCAAUACACACUGGCGCACGGGUGAGUAACGCGUAGAUCAUCUGCCCCUAUCACCGACAUAACUCUUGGAAACGGGAGCUAAUAUCGGAUGAGGUGAGCAAUCAUCAAAGUUUCGACGGAUAGGGAUGAGUCUGCGUCUGAUUAGGGUAGUUGGGUGAGGGUUAAUGGCUCACCAAGCCUACGAUCAGUAGCUGGUCUGAGAGGACGAACAGCCACACUGGAACUGAGACACGGUCCAGACUCCUACGGGAGGCAGCAGUGAGGAAUAUUGGACAAUGGGAGCAAUCCUGAUCCAGCAAUGCCGCGUGUGGGAUGAC
rnacentral:rRNA from 1 species